AAAGUUUAUUUCAGACCACUCUUGAUUUCCUUUAUCUGGUUUGUUUCUUUUGCUUGCUGGAGAGGCAGAGUUCCAGAAAGAUGUAAGGCUGUUGGAAAGAGCUCAGCAAAAUGAAAGAAAAUAUGGUCUGUGGCAGGUUGAAAGUAUUGCGUUCUUAGGAACUGUCAGAGGCCAAGUGUGUAAUGAACUUGAGUAAAUGACAAGCUGAUGGGGAAGAAUAAUUGCCCAGAGGUUUGUGGUGAAUAUAAACACCUUUUGGUUCCAUCCUGGCCCACAGUUCAUUGGAUGAUAGCUGCCCACAUUGAGUACAAUCUUCCCCGCUCAGUCCACUGACUCACAUGCAGAUCUCCUGUGGAGCACACCCUCACAGAUAUACCCGGAAACACUUCACCACUCAUGGAGGCAUCUCUCUCUCCAGUAAAGCUGACACCUGGUCCUGUAACUGUAUCUUCAAAAGGCUAUUCUAUCAUUCUCUCAGAGCAGCUGCUUCAGGAUGGUCAGAAACAUGGUAAGGCCAGUGAAUUGCAUGAGCAUAAGCCAUACUUCUUUGGCUGUGGAGCAAGUUUCUUUGUCAGAAUCAAUCCCUCCACUGUGAUAGCUACGCAGAGCGUCUGUGAUGGUCCUGUAGGCUUCCGAGGCGAUCAGGCAGUGUCAGUCUUCAGCUGCUAAGCCAAGAAGAUCUGGGAAGGAGUCAGUCAGAGAGCCUUGGGUCAGAGUUCCAGGGGCUCUGGGAGUGGUUGCCAGGUGAGUUGAACAGUCCGAUUUUCAGUGGGGUCCUGUACAGAUGGGAUGCGGCUUAGGAGGAAUCCCAGGCUGCGGGCAUUCCUUGGCCUGGUGGCCAGAUUUCUGGCACUUGUAGCAAGCUCCUGGGGGAGGCAGGCCUGGAGGAACGCCUGGCCACUGUGGUUUAGGCGUUUGGAAGUUCUUGUGUGCUGGAGAUGUGGCUGGGGUUUGUCUCACAGUGGAGGUAAGGAAUUGCAACUCAGAAAUAUGUUGCUACUUGGCUGCCUCUACUCUAUUAUUGUACACCUUGAAGGCAAGGUUGAUUAAGUCCUGUUGUGGGGUUUGAAGGCCGGAAUUUAAUUUUUGGAGUUUUAUUUAAUGUCAGGAGUGGAUUGGGUAAUAAAAUGUAUAUUGAGAAUAAGACGGCCUUUUGACCUUUUAGGGUCUAGGCUAUAAAGCAUCUCAGGGUUGCUGCCAAAUGAGCCAUGAACUGGGCUGGGUUUUUAUAUUUGAUGAAAAAGAGCCUAAACGCUAUCUGAUUUGGGAUAAAGAAAAAG
rnacentral:lncRNA from 1 species